rnacentral:rRNA from 1 species
GACGAACGCUGGCGGCGUGCUUAACACAUGCAAGUCGAACGCUGAAGCUCAGCUUUUGUUGGGUGGAUGAGUGGCGAACGGGUGAGUAACACGUGAGUAACCUGCCUCCUUCUUUGGGAUAACGCCCGGAAACGGGUGCUAAUACUGGAUAUUCACUGGUCUUCGCAUGGGGGUUGGUGGAAAGGGUUUUUCUGGUGGGGGAUGGGGUCGCGGCCUAUCAGCUUGUUGGUGGGGUGAUGGCCUACCAAGGCUUUGACGGGUAGCCGGCCUGAGAGGGUGACCGGUCACAUUGGGACUGAGAUACGGACCAGAAUCCUACGGGAGGCAGCAGGGGGGAAUAUUGCACAAUGGGCGCAAGCCUGAUGCAGCGACGCCGCGUGAGGGAUGGAGGCCUUCGGGUUGUGAACCUCUUUCGCUCAUGGUCAAGCCGCAACAAUGGUUGUGGUGAGGGUAGUGGGUAAAGAAGCGCCGGCUAACUACGUG